CCUACGGGUGGCAGCAGUGAGGAAUAUUGGUCAAUGGGCGCGAGCCUGAACCAGCCAAGUAGCGUGAAGGACGACUGCCCUACGGGUUGUAAACUUCUUUUAUAAAGGAAUAAAGUGAGGCACGUGGGCCUGAUGGUAGGUACUUUAGGAAAAAGGAUCGGCCAACUCCGGGCCAGCAGCCGGGGUAAUACGGAGGAUCCGAGCGUUAUCCGGAUUUAUUGGGUUUAAAGGGGGCGGAGGUGGGUUGUUAAGUCAGUUGGGAAAGUUAGCGGCUAAACCGGAGAAUUGCAAUUGAUACUGGCUGUCUUGAGUACAGUUGAGGUAGGCGGAAUGCGUGGUGUAGCGGUGAAAUGCUUAGAUAUCACGAAGAACCCCGAUUGCGAAGGCAGCUUACUAACCUGUGACUGACGUUGAUGCACGAAAGUGUGGGUAUCAAACAGGAUUAGAUACCCGAGUAGUC
rnacentral:rRNA from 1 species